AUGCACAGCUCGCUCGCUCGGCAGGUGGGCCCGCCGAUCCGGCCUGGCUGCGCGGACCAGGCCCGCCGCGAUCGAUCCGGUUCGGUCCGGUGCCACGCCGAGGCCGCGCCGCCGGUGUCCGUCGCUAGGACGGGGCCGUACACCGGGAGGGACCCGGAGGUGAAGAAGCCGGCGUGGCUGAGGCAGAGGGCGGCGCAAGGGGAGAAGUACGCGCGGAUGCGGGAGUCGCUCGGCGAGCUCAAGCUCAACACCGUCUGCGUCGAGGCCCAGUGCCCCAACAUCGGCGAGUGCUGGAACGGAGGGGGAGGGGCCGGCGGGGAAGGGGACGGUAUUGCCACGGCGACCAUUAUGGUGCUCGGCGAUACUUGCACGCGCGGUUGUCGAUUCUGCGCCGUGAAGACCAGCAACAAGCCUCCGCCGCCGGAUCCCAUGGAACCUCUGAACACGGCCUUGGCCGUUGCAAGUUGGGGAGUAGACUAUGUUGUGCUGACAAGUGUUGAUAGAGAUGACUUACCUGAUGGGGGAAGUGGCCAUUUUGCUCAGACAGUGAGAGCUUUGAAGGAGCUCAAACCUGGGAUAUUGGUGGAAUGCUUAACCUCGGAUUUUCGAGGUGAUCUGGAGGCUGUUUCCUCUUUGGCCGAUUCUAAUCUAGAUGUCUUUGCGCACAACAUUGAAACUGUGAGGAGUCUGCAGAGAAUUGUGAGGGAUCCUCGAGCAGGAUAUGAGCAGAGCUUAGCUGUUCUAAAGCAUGCAAAAAUUUGCAAAGAGGGGAUGAUAACCAAGUCUUCUAUCAUGCUUGGUCUUGGGGAAACUGACGAGGAGGUGAAACAAGCCAUGAUUGAUUUAAGGGCAGUUGGUGUUGAUAUUCUCACAUUGGGCCAAUAUUUGCAGCCAACAGAAAAACAUUUGACGGUUAGGGAGUAUGUGACGCCUGAGAAGUUCCAGUUUUGGAAGGAGUAUGGUGAAUCGUUGGGUUUUUGUUAUGUUGCUAGUGGACCUCUGGUCCGGUCUUCGUACCGUGCAGGAGAGCUCUUUGUCGAGAAUUUGGUCAGAAAUAAGAAGUCUAAGCCUGCAUCGGCCUCCUCUUAA
rnacentral:rRNA from 1 species